rnacentral:lncRNA from 1 species
GUUUUUGUUUUUUAUAGGGGUAUGAGUAAGUCUAAACCUUGACCCACUGUUGUUCUGAUUUUUAUUUCUAGAUAUACUGUGGUGCUGGUCCAUCACUCAUCCAGGCUGCAGAGUUCACGGAGUUCCAGUUACUUGUGGAAGAAAAACUUGUUGGACAGGCAAAUGGAAAGCUAAUUCUCAGGCAAGAAAGGUGUCCCCUGUUUUGGACACAAGAAAAAUGGUGAAGCACAGAAAAGCUAUAUUCCUGUUUUGCCUGCAUCAGGGGAUAGUCACACAAUAUCUAACUAUUUCAAGAAACUUUGACCAGAAAAACAGGAAUGCUGAUUUUAAAACUUGUUUUGUGUGGGAUGCUUGGGGAAAGUUGAGAUGAGUAAAUCAGUCAAAACAAUGUAGCUAAAGUACAUUAAACUUCUGCCUGGGUCUUGCUUAAUCCUCCUAGGUACAGCAAUCAAUCUAUCUAUAUUUUUGAAACCAGCAUCUACAACAGGGGGUUAGUGCACUUGAACCUUGUGUGCUAGCUUCCCAGCAUUAACUGAGUUACCCUGAUAUUCCCCCCCCCCUCCCCAAGCCUACAGUACAAAAUAGGGGGGAAAUUAACUAGUUAAAAAUAUUUGAAAUGGGAACAAUAUAACUAAAGGUGUAGAUCUUAAAGUUACUAUGACAUUUAGUCACUUUAUAGAAAUAAAAAACUCUUUCAUGAGCUCA